UUCCCAAUGGUCUAAUGGCUAAGACUCUGCACUCCCAAUGCAGAGAGCCCUGGUUCAAUCUCUGAUCAGGGAA
rfam:TPA: Bos taurus chromosome 13, whole genome shotgun sequence.